AUCUGGUACUCGUGCGAGGAACAGCUCGGUGGCCCGGGUGUUCCUCAACUUCCCCUUCCCUCAAACCUGUCUCAUGUGGUGAGGACAGGGACCCGAGGACACAGCCAUUUACACACAGAAACGCACAACUCCUCCAGCAACACAGAAAGGGCUCAUUGCCGCACAGUAGAGUCAUCCACAGGCUUCCAGAGCACUGUGCAAGCGCGGAUGAAAGUUCUGAACUCCCCCUCUUCUGGCAACAACCAUCCUCAGGACUUCUAGGUCUCUGA
rnacentral:lncRNA from 1 species